GACGAACGCUGGCGGCGUGCUUAACACAUGCAAGUCGAGCGAGGCCCCUCCUUCGGGAGGGUGUCCUAGCGGCGAACGGGUGAGUAACACGUGGGCAACCUGCCCUCAGCUCUGGGAUAACUCCGGGAAACCGGGGCUAAUACCGGAUACGACCUCCACGGGCAUCUGCGGCGGUGGAAAGUUUUUCGGCUGAGGAUGGGCCCGCGGCCUAUCAGCUAGUUGGUGGGGUAGUGGCCCACCAAGGCGACGACGGGUAGCCGGCCUGCGAGGGCGACCGGCCACACUGGGACUGAGACACGGCCCAGACUCCUACGGGAGGCAGCAGUGGGGAAUAUUGCGCAAUGGGCGAAAGCCUGACGCAGCGACGCCGCGUGAGGGACGAAGGCCUUCGGGUUGUAAACCUCUUUCAGCAGGGACGAAGCGAAAGUGACGGUACCUGCAGAAGAAGCACCGGCCAACUACGUG
rnacentral:rRNA from 1 species